rnacentral:rRNA from 1 species
GAUGAACGCUGGCGGCGUGCCUAAUACAUGCAAGUCGAGCGAACAGAUGAGGAGCUUGCUCCUCUGACGUUAGCGGCGGACGGGUGAGUAACACGUGGAUAACCUACCUAUAAGACUGGGAUAACUUCGGGAAACCGGAGCCAAUACCGGAUAAUAUAUUGAACCGCAUGGUUCAAUAGUGAAAGACGGUUUUGCUGUCACUUAUAGAUGGAUCCGCGCCGCAUUAGCUAGUUGGUAAGGUAACGGCUUACCAAGGCGACGAUGCGUAGCCGACCUGAGAGGGUGAUCGGCCACACUGGAACUGAGACACGGUCCAGACUCCUACGGGAGGCAGCAGUGGGGAAUCUUCCGCAAUGGGCGAAAGCCUGACGGAGCAACGCCGCGUGAGUGAUGAAGGUCUUCGGAUCGUAAAGCUCUGUUAUUAGGGAAGAACAAAUGUGUAAGUAACUAUGCACGUCUUGACGGUACCUAAUCAGAAAGCCACGGCUAACUACGUG